rnacentral:lncRNA from 1 species
CAAUCAAGCUUUUUUAUAUAGUUUGUCUGUCUGUCUGUUAGUCCGUGCUAAUCUCUGUAACGGCUGGAUCGAUUUUGAUGGGAAUUGCACUGGUAGAUAAAAGAGGCUUUUGUGCAACAUAUAGGUUUAUAUUCAUCUCAAAAUAUCCAAGGUUCCCGCGGGAUUGGUGGAAAACUGAAUUUUACGUGGACCUUUAUUUCUGUCACUUUAGUUAAAAUUUAGUUCGUGUACCACCAAAUCAGCACCACUAAAGUCCGGCCGCUCAGAAAUUGUGUUACUGACAGAUCGUGAUCGAAUGGGCGAUGUAACUUUAAAUAGCGUAGGUUAUGCCAACUGAUUGUCUUUGUAGUAAUGAGACAAAAUAACGAGGCUCGAUCACGACCUGUCAAAAACGCAAUCUCUGAGCGGCCGGACAUACAAAGCUACACAACGAAAUAAAUAUUUUAGCUAAGUUAUAACUACAUACAGUUUUACACACAGAAAUAUUACAAUGCGAAUAAUCAAUAGUAUGUUAUUAUAAUUUCAUUUAAUAGCAUAUAUUAUCAUUAAGAAAUAACACCAAAUGUAAUCUAUUGUUUUAAGCAGAAGUUAAGUUCUAUAUCUAUAACUCACUAAAUAAUAACCAUCUGAAUCGAAAGUAUGAACUUAAUAAUUAUUUGGCGUAAAUAACGCUAUACCUAUUAUAACGUACUUUGCAGAAAAAGACAGAAUUUACUUUUUACCAAGUAAAACCGCUCAAGUUAUGGAUAUUUAAGAUUUUACGACCAUAAUCUCAUUAUAUGCGAGUAGGUAAAACAAGGGAGGUAAUUUAAUAUUCAAUAUUUUUUAAAAUUGAAAAUAUAAUUUGUAUUAAAGAUUUGCUAGUAAAAUAUCUAUUAAAUAAUUAAUCGGGUAUAAACUAUACAUGAUAUUAUAUUACAUAAAAUGCCAGCUACACUAUCUCAAUCGACAUCCGAAAGUGGACAGUUUGGUCGGUUCGGAGUUUGGACAUUGGUGAUUAAGAAUUGCGUCCAUCGCUGCAGAUAUAAACCGACAAAGUCCAAUGUAAUAAAAGCAGUACCACACCUUCCCAACUUUCCGACUUAGAUAUUAUUUGUAAGAGGUGGUAUUAUGUUUCAUACUGACCAUCGAAUUAUGCUCUCGCUAUGUUUCUAAUAUUAUCUUACGCAGUAGCCAUUUAAAUCUAUUGCUAUUCGAGGAUUUGAUAUCGUUUUGUAGUACCGUUAGAUGUCGGAAAAAUGUGGUAGCAACUUAGGUAUGUCGGGGUUUUAGUUAGUAAUAAAA